GCAGCGACACUGUGUGUUGUUGGGUAGGGGAGCGUUCUGUAAGCCUGUGAAGGUGUGUCGUGAGGCAUGCUGGAGGUAUCAGAAGUGCGAAUGCUGACAUAAGUAACGAUAAAGCGGGUGAAAAGCCCGCUCGCCGGAAGACCAAGGGUUCCUGUCCAACGUUAAUCGGGGCAGGGUGAGUCGACCCCUAAGGCGAGGCCGAAAGGCGUAGUCGAUGGGAAACGGGUUAAUAUUCCCGUACUUGGUGUUACUGCGAAGGGGGGACGGAGAAGGCUAUGUUGGCCGGGCGACGGUUGUCCCGGUUUAAGCGUGUAGGUGUGUGUUCCAGGUAAAUCCGGUUCACUUUAACACUGAGGCGUGACGACGAGGCACUACGGUGCUGAAGCAACAAAUGCCCUGCUUCCAGGAAAAGCCUCUAAGCAUCAGGUAACAUCAAAUCGUACCCCAAACCGACACAGGUGGUCAGGUAGAGAAUACCAAGGCGCUUGAGAGAACUCGGGUGAAGGAACUAGGCAAAAUGGUGCCGUAACUUCGGGAGAAGGCACGCUGACACGUAGGUGAAGUGAUUUACUCAUGGAGCUGAAGUCAGUCGAAGAUACCAGCUGGCUGCAACUGUUUAUUAAAAACACAGCACUGUGCAAACACGAAAGUGGACGUAUACGGUGUGACGCCUGCCCGGUGCCGGAAGGUUAAUUGAUGGGGUCAGCGCAAGCGAAGCUCCUGAUCGAAGCCCCGGUAAACGGCGGCCGUAACUAUAACGGUCCUAAGGUAGCGAAAUUCCUUGUCGGGUAAGUUCCGACCUGCACGAAUGGCGUAAUGAUGGCCAGGCUGUCUCCACCCGAGACUCAGUGAAAUUGAACUCGCUGUGAAGAUGCAGUGUACCCGCGGCAAGACGGAAAGACCCCGUGAACCUUUACUAUAGCUUGACACUGAACAUUGAGCCUUGAUGUGUAGGAUAGGUGGGAGGCUUUGAAGUGUGGACGCCAGUCUGCAUGGAGCCGACCUUGAAAUACCACCCUUUAAUGUUUGAUGUUCUAACGUGGACCCGUUACCCGGGUUGCGGACAGUGUCUGGUGGGUAGUUUGACUGGGGCGGUCUCCUCCUAAAGAGUAACGGAGGAGCACGAAGGUUGGCUAAUCCUGGUCGGACAUCAGGAGGUUAGUGCAAUGGCAUAAGCCAGCUUGACUGCGAGCGUGACGGCGCGAGCAGGUGCGAAAGCAGGUCAUAGUGAUCCGGUGGUUCUGAAUGGAAGGGCCAUCGCUCAACGGAUAAAAGGUACUCCGGGGAUAACAGGCUGAUACCGCCCAAGAGUUCAUAUCGACGGCGGUGUUUGGCACCUCGAUGUCGGCUCAUCACAUCCUGGGGCUGAAGUAGGUCCCAAGGGUAUGGCUGUUCGCCAUUUAAAGUGGUACGCGAGCUGGGUUUAGAACGUCGUGAGACAGUUCGGUCCCUAUCUGCCGUGGGCGCUGGAGAACUGAGGGGGGCUGCUCCUAGUACGAGAGGACCGGAGUGGACGCAUCACUGGUGUUCGGGUUGUCAUGCCAAUGGCACUGCCCGGUAGCUAAAUGCGGAAGAGAUAAGUGCUGAAAGCAUCUAAGCACGAAACUUGCCCCGA
rnacentral:rRNA from 1 species